CUGUGGGACCCCAGGAGCCACAGAGAACCUGACAAUGACCUGGCUGAGCAAGGGCCUCCCCAGGGAGCUGGAGCAGAGAGAGACACUGGGGCCGGGCCAGCCCCCAACUCCAGGAAUUUAAGCCUGAGCCUGCCCCUGAGCCAGUCGAAUGGCCACCUCACCUGUGUGGUCAGCAACCCUGUGGACGAGAAGAACGCAACCUUACACCUGGUGAACAUCUGUCCAUGGGCGGGUGGGUCCACUCUUCUGCCCAAGGUGCCAGGCUCAGCAGCUGUUUCCCAGGCCCUUCCCACAGAGGAAUCUACUGACCUGCAGACUGCUGAGGCUAACA